rnacentral:lncRNA from 1 species
CCGCCUUCCCUGAGCCCCACCCACUCCGGGCACUCACUCCCACCUUUAAUCAGCCACGUGUGACGCCAUGACGCGUGCGUGGCCGCGGCGCAGGGGGCGGGCCCGCGGCGCGCCACCGGAGGAGGAAGUGGUGCGGUUGUUGCUCCCUCUGCACCCACUGCUGGCUCGCGGGGCGCGGAGAGGGGCAACUACCACCGCCGCCGCUCUGGCUCCCUCCUUACUACUGUUUCCCUCCAUGUGCUCCGGCGCCGUCUCUCCCCUUCCUCAGGCCGCCGCUUACCCCGGGGUCUAUGGAAGUAAUGGAAGGACCCCUCAACCUGGCUCAUCAACAGAGCAGAAGAGCAGAUCGCUUAUUAGCCGCAGGGAAAUACGAAGAGGCUAUUUCUUGUCACAAGAAGGCUUCAGCAUAUCUUUCCGAAGCCAUGAAGCUCACACAGUCUGAGCAGGUGAGACAAUUUCUUAAUAUUUGCAUAAAAGUUAGAAGGAUUUUCUUGUGGAGACUUGAAUUGUGUGUAAAAUAAAGUAUUCUGCCCUUUUCAAAACACUGUAGUCAGAGAUACAUAAAAUGGAAAAGAGAGGAGUACUUCAGAAAUGAAAACUCAGUGAACUGCUGUCGAUGUUCCAAACAUGGCAUGCAGAAAAUUUCUGUUUUUCAGAUCACCAGAUGUUUUCCUUAGAGACUUCUAGGGCCUUUCCUGGUCAUUAACUCAUUUGAGCAUUAGCUCACAGAAAGUAAGCAGGCCCGGCCAAGGGGACGCCAGUUGGACUUCCCUUUGCUUGCCAAAAAUAAUUUAUACCUGAAUUUGUCUUUUCCUGAAUUCCUAAACAGUUCUGGUACCUUUAAAUUUAUUUCACCAGUGGCUUUAAAUUUUUUUGUGUGUUUGGAGAAGCCUUCGUAGGUUUCAAAAAAAAAAAAACACCUUCAUCCAAAGAUGAUUUUCUCAUUAUGAAAGUGGCAGGGUACAUAGGAGAUAUUCAGUGAAUGUUUAUCUAGUUGAAUUAAGGAGACCUUUUCAGUGAGGGGGUGUCAGUGGCAGGGGAAAAAUACCACUUUUUCAAACUAAACGAAGAGUCUGAAAGUUGUGUUUUAUUUCAUGUACUUCCUUUUGACUGUGUAGAACUGCUCAUGUUAGCCACAUAAUACAGACAUUCACUGAGCUGUUUGAGCCCCUUCAUAAG